CUCGUGGUUCUACGGCGUGGCUCGCUCAUGGGUGCGACGGUGCUUGCGACGGUGGUUUAUUCGACGGGUUUGACUUUAGUGAGGUGAUUUGCCUGUUGUGAUUUCAUGCGCUAGUGUAGCUCUAGCAGAUGCAGGGAUAAUGAUGUAUGACCUUGUAACUUCAGUUUCAGUGGUGUCAUUACAGGUGCUGCAUUGUCCUUUUCAAUGUUUGUUGUUGGUCUGCUGCUUUCAUCUAAUCCUGAUGCCACGGGAGACCUGGUGCAGGUUCCAAGCAUGCUGUUUCAAGGUUCUUUGCUUCUUGGGCUCAUAAGUAGAGCCACUCUUGGUUAUGCGUAUGUCCCUGUUUUCUUUUUCAAUCUUCAUUAUGCCAAAAUAAUAGUUUGUUUAUUAUUCAAAAGAGAUCUUAAUGAGAGCC